AGCGAACGCUGGCGGCAGGCUUAACACAUGCAAGUCGAGCGGGCCCUUCGGGGUCAGCGGCGGACGGGUGAGUAACGCGUGGGAACGUGCCUUCUGGUCUGGAAUAACCCUGGGAAACUAGGGCUAAUACCGGAUACGCCCUUUUGGGGAAAGGUUUACUGCCGGAAGAUCGGCCCGCGUCUGAUUAGCUAGUUGGUGGGGCAACGGCCUACCAAGGCGACGAUCAGUAGCUGGUCUGAGAGGAUGAUCAGCCACACUGGGACUGAGACACGGCCCAGACUCCUACGGGAGGCAGCAGUGGGGAAUAUUGGACAAUGGGCGCAAGCCUGAUCCAGCCAUGCCGCGUGAGUGAUGAAGGCCUUAGGGUUGUAAAGCUCUUUUAUCCGGGACGAUAAUGACGGUACCGGAGGAAUAAGCCCCGGCUAACUUCGUG
rnacentral:rRNA from 1 species